rnacentral:rRNA from 1 species
GACGAACGCUGGCGGCGUGCUUAACACAUGCAAGUCGAACGGAAAGGCCCUGCUUUUGUGGGGUGCUCGAGUGGCGAACGGGUGAGUAACACGUGAGUAACCUGCCCUUGACUUUGGGAUAACUUCAGGAAACUGGGGCUAAUACCGGAUAGGAGCUCCUGCUGCAUGGUGGGGGUUGGAAAGUUUCGGCGGUUGGGGAUGGACUCGCGGCUUAUCAGCUUGUUGGUGGGGUAGUGGCUUACCAAGGCUUUGACGGGUAGCCGGCCUGAGAGGGUGACCGGGCACAUUGGGACUGAGAUACGGCCCAGAGUCCUACGGGAGGCAGCAGUGGGGAAUAUUGCACAAUGGGCGGAAGCCUGAUGCAGCAACGCCGCGUGCGGGAUGACGGCCUUCGGGGUGUAAACCGCUUUAGCCUGUGACGAAGCGUGAGUGACGGUAAUGGGUAAAGAAGCACCGGCUAACUACGUG